rnacentral:lncRNA from 1 species
AUACAGAACAUGCAGCACUCAAGGUAAUAAUUUUGUAUAUGAAUAUUCAAUAACUUGUAUGUCCAAGUAGACUGAAAACUUUAAAAUUCUUUAACAGGCUCACAUUCGCUAGAGUAGAUGAAAAUGAAAAUUUUACGAUGGUUGUGUAAAGGGUAAAAUAACUCAAAUUGUUUUCUCAGUAAAUGCUACCACAUCUUCAUCAAUCAACUGCUAUUCUUAAAUAUCAAGAAAAUAACUUGUAUAAUACAAACAAUAUAGUCAACAAAAAGCUAUAUACAAAGAUAGCUAAUGCAAGAUCACUGAGCUUAUAAUACAUAAGGCCAAAAAUAUUUCAUCCCAGUUCUUUUUAUUUUUUAUUUUAUUUUAUUUAUUUAUUUAUUUGAGAUGGAGUCCCACUGUGUCACC